GAAGUGUGUGUCUUCUCCUAAUCCUGUUCCUGUAAUCCCAGGCUAUUAUAAGCACUGCCCCUUCUCGCCCUACUUGUUUGCACAACUGUCGUCCCAUGAUCCUUGGGCCGAUGGGCUUCAGCAGCCAGUCGAUAGGUUGUUGGACCCACUGUGUGCCCACCCUGUGCUGGCUGGGGUAGGAUAGAGAUGCCCGUCCUGUGUUCUCAAGGAAUCAGAAGACCAGUAUUUGAGUCUAGCUGGGAAAGGAAGACACGCGUGAGAACCCAGUAGAGAGCAGGAAAGCCAAGCACUUAAGAGGGCGGUUAAGAUUUGGUGGGACGUGCAGCCAGUCCACCGAGUUUGAGUAAGGAAGAGGCAGAUGGUGCCAGGGAAGGACCCAGCCCAGAGCUAGCUGGCCGUCUAAGCUGGAUCUCAGCCAGCCUUGUUCCGAGGUUGUGGCCAAGGUGGGCUUGCUGCUGCCCUCUCCGGGGUCUGUGCCCAUCUCCCAAGUGCUCAUGCUGUUUCCACGGUCUGCAUCUUCCUACUUGUCACGAUUCUCCAACUCAUCCUUCAAGGCCCAGAUUCAGUGCCGCUUUUCCCGUGAAGGCUCUUCCCUUCCACCAGCCAGCAUGGUGCUGAUCUUACAUAGACCUUUGCUGAUGACUCUGUCGUGACAUUGAUUCCAUCUUGUGUAUUCAUGAAUGUUGUGUAGCUUGUCAGGUGCAUGUUUAUGUUUUCCUUGGUUCAACUAGAUUGUGAGCAUCUUGUAAGCAGGGAAUGUGCCUGAUGCAUUUCUCAAACUCCCCGCCAGCAGCCCAGAGCGGUACCCUGUUCAGAAAAUGUCCGCUAAGCAGAUGAGUGAUAGUUUAGCGGAUUCCUUUCUCCCCGGUGGACAGGUUCUAUAAAUUCAGUUCUGUAAAACCAGUUGGGGGAGGUGGCUGCUUUCUGGGGCCAGUUUCUGGCAGGGGACACAUGGUGAAAUGAAAGGUCACUAUAAGCUGGAUGUGUGUGGCCACACAAGAGAUGGGGAAUCCAGUGGUCUCCUGGUCUUGACCUUUCAGGACCAAAGGGACAAGAGGAGGGUACAAGUGGCAAGCGUGCCCUCCUUAGCUUAUAGAAAGAGCCUUGGAAUCAGAAGAGCUGGGGACUAGUUCCGAUCCCAUUUUUGGUGAUGAUAAAUACUUGCCUUAUUGACCUUCUGGGAUUGUUCUGGGAACCAAAUGAGCUCUCCUUUAUUCCUUCUGUGAAGAAACUCUCCAGUCACCAGCUGCUAAGGCCAGCCAGGCAGAGCCUAGCCCGUCUCUGCUGAGUUCCCGUUUAGGCUCAGAGACAAGAACCAACAUGGAAGGAUGUGGUUUUUUGACUUCCAAACCAGGUAACUCUGGAUUUAAUUUAUUUGACAGAGAGAGAAAGAGCACAAGG